ACUCCUACGGGAGGCAGCAGUGGGGAAUAUUGCACAAUGGGCGCAAGCCUGAUGCAGCCAUGCCGCGUGUGUGAAGAAGGCCUUCGGGUUGUAAAGCACUUUCAGUCGUGAGGAAGGUAGUGUAGUUAAUAGCUGCAUUAUUUGACGUUAGCGACAGAAGAAGCACCGGCUAACUCCGUGCCAGCAGCCGCGGUAAUACGGAGGGUGCGAGCGUUAAUCGGAAUUACUGGGCGUAAAGCGCAUGCAGGUGGUUGUUAAGUCAGAUGUGAAAGCCCGGGGCUCAACCUCGGAAUAGCAUUUGAAACUGGCAGACUAGAGUACUGUAGAGGGGGUAGAAUUUCAGGUGUAGCGGUGAAAUGCGUAGAGAUCUGAAGGAUACCGGUGGCGAAGGCGGCCCCUGGACAGAUACUGACACUCAGAUGCGAAAGCGUGGGAGCAAACAGGAUUAGAUACCCCUGGUAGCGACUGA
rnacentral:rRNA from 1 species